AGGUUGAGUUUGGUUAGAACAUAUGAUAAAAGUGUAUCGUCCAGAUAAUCUUAUUAUUAUUAAAAGUACUCUAAAAGAGGAAAACGAUAAGUUUUGUCACACCUGUGAUUUUACCUUUAAACAUCUCUUAUGUUCUUGGUCAUAACUUAUUUAAAAUCUAUUUAAUUUUCUUAUAAUAAUGUGAAUCUACAAAAUAGGAAAUUACUGAUGUUGUUAAAAAUUUUGACUAAUGUCGUGCAGCUCCACUGGCUUCGUGAAUAAAUAUGAAACGGCAGCAGAAGUGUGGGGGUUUUUUGUGCCCAGUGAAAUGACAUGACUCCCGUGAAACAUGACUAGAGAGCAGAAUCCUCCCUGAUGAUUAGAAAGCUCCACCUGAGGGGGACACGGCUGUUUCGGAGGUUUAGCUCUGAUCCCGAUCGUGGCGUGCAGACUCUAAUUUCCUCCACCAUCUGUAGCACUAGCUCUUCAACAGGGAGGGUCCAACCCCUCUGCUGCUGAAAACACGGGGGAGAGAGAUAAUCCGAACCAUCCUGCAGGGUGGGAGAGGGCAGGGGAGGGGAAGAGGGGAGUUUAACCCUUCACUAAUCACCAAACAAGCCCAUGACGGCUGAAAAAAAAGUCUUAACGAGACAUUUAAACAGGAUUCAAUUAGAGGGAAAUUCACUUUGGUGUCCUGAGAUCGUCCUGAGGAGAUAGAGGACUCUUUCAAACACAUCGGCUCUUUUUAAACAAGUAUCUCAAGAGAGUUCACCAAACUCUUGAACUUCUGAAGAAGAAUUAAAGUCCCUGUUUGAACAAGAGUAAAAUCAAAUCCUCCUCUGACAGUUUAAUCUGGUUUAUGACAGCGGGAACAGUUUCAGUAUGUGAACAGACUGAACCGUAUCAAACAGAAUCCCAUUAACGUCGAACAGUCUGUCAUUCAUUCACUUAAUUAUUCAUUCAUUCUUUCAUCUGCUGUUCUGUAAACAUAUCAGUCCAUUUGUAUUUCCAUCCAUCUGUCCUUCCAGUACAUCAAUCUAUCAUUCAUCCAUCCUUUCCUCCAACAAUUGAUCCAUUCACUGCAAACCCAUCCAUCCUUCUGACAAAUCGUCCAGUCAUUCAACCAUCUACCAUCAUCAAUCAAUCAUCCAUCCAUCUGUCUGUAAUUUUUUAAUCUAUCCAUCAUCAAUCCAUCAUUUAUCCAUUCGUCAAACUGACAAUCCAUCAUCCAUCCAUUCAUUCAUUCAUUCAUACAUCGAUUUCUCCAUUCAUCUACCAUCAUCAAUCCAUUAUCCAUGCAUCUGUCCAUCAGUUAUCUAUCAAUCAAUCAUUCAUCCAUUUAUUCAUCCAUUGAAUUAACAAUCCAUUCAUUCAUUCAGUCAGUCAUUCAUCCAUUUAUUCAUCCAUCUACCAUCCAUCCAUCCGUCAAUCAUUUAUCAAUCUAUCCAUAUUGUAUCCAUCCAUUCAUCUAUCAUAACAAUCAAUCAAUUCAUUCAUUCAUUCAUCAUCUACCAUUAUUAAUCCAUUAUCCAUGCAUUAGUUAUCUAUCAAUCAAUCAUUUAUCCAUCCAUUAAUCUAUCGAAUUAACAAUCAUUCAUUCAUUUAUCUAUCCACCACUCUCUUCAACUAUCAAUUCAUUCACCACUUAUCAUACAAACCUCUAACCCUUUGUCCACAUUUAUACAUUAUUCAUUCACCCAUCCAUCCAUCCAUCCAUCCAUCCAUCCAUCCAUCCAUUUAUCGGUAAAACAGUCAGGCUUUCAU
rnacentral:lncRNA from 1 species